UACGUAGGGUGCAAGCGUUGUUCGGAAUUACUGGGCGUAAAGCGUGUGUAGGUGGCCCACUAAGUCUGGUGUGAAAGCCCUGAGCUCAACUCAGGAACUGCAUCGGAAACUGGCGGGCUAGAGUUCGGGAGAGGGUAGUGGAAUUCCUGGUGUAGAGGUGAAAUUCGUAGAUAUCAGGAGGAACACCGGUGGCGAAGGCGGCUACCUGGACCGAUACUGACACUGAGACACGAAAGCGUGGGGAGCAAACAGG
rnacentral:rRNA from 1 species